GGAUCAUUAAAGAGUUCUAUAACUCCCAAACCCAUGUGAACAUACCUAACGUUGCCUCGGCAGGUCGCACCUACCUUGUAGCACCCUACCCUGUAGGGCCUACCCGGGAGGUGCGGGUAAGCCUGCCGGCGGCCCACCAAACUCUGUUUGAUAUUGAAUUCUGAACCUAUAACUAAAUAAGUUAAAACUUUCAACAACGGAUCUCUUGGUUCUGGCAUCGAUGAAGAACGCAGCGAAAUGCGAUAAGUAAUGUGAAUUGCAGAAUUCAGUGAAUCAUCGAAUCUUUGAACGCAUAUUGCGCCCAUUAGUAUUCUAGUGGGCAGGACCGUUCGAGCGUCAUUUCAACCCUUAAGCCUUCGUUGCUUAGUGUUGGGAGCCUACGGCAACGUAGCUCCUCAAAGUUAGUGGCGGAGUUGGUUCACACUCUAGACGUAGUAAUUUUUUAUCUCGCCUAUUAGUUGGACUAAUCCCCUGCCGUAAAACCCCCAAUUUAUCAAGGUUGACCUCGAAUCGGUUCAGACAAACUCGCUAAAUUGAAGCAUCUUAGUCAGCGAAGGAAAAGAAACCAACAGGGAUUGCCCUAG
rnacentral:rRNA from 1 species